CCGGCGCCAGGCUGUACCGCUGGCCGAGGGGCGGCUUUGCCCGCUGAGCGGCCGCUGCCCCUGUCACAGGCCCGAAUCUGCUCGGGGGCUGCCGCCGAGGUGGGCUUCGUCGGGUCGUCGAACGGAUCGGGAAGUGAUUUUGGCAAACAGCGCUUCGCUCCCCGGGCGCCUGGGUUUGUGUCACAGGAGCGAGGUGAUCCACCCUGCGGCCGCGAAGCGCUGGGAGCUGUGAGAAGAGUAGAAGGAGGAGCGGCUGGGGUGGAGGUGGCGGGCUGCCUCCCCGGCAGCAGCCGGGGCGAGAUCGGCUUUAGCUUGUCCCAAGACCUGUGUGGGGUUACGUGCCAGAACCAAUUAACCUCAUGACACAAAUCCAGGGAGAUCAGGUUUCCUUAAUUCUCUUUCUCACUAAGUUAUUUGAUUGUCAGGAUGGACAACCCUUGGCAAUUGUUUGUAUCCUGACGAUGACAUCUUGUCGUCUGUGAUACCAGGCACUAGGGGGAUUUGGCUAUUACUAGACCAGUUGAAAACUGUUACUUCUUGCUUGUGCUGUGCAUAGCGUGGUUCAAUUUUUGACAGCAUUAUGACUGAAAUUCUGUGUCGUCUGUAACAUGCCUGGUGCAGAACAUCAUCUGGGUCAUAUAAAAAACUCCAGUGUGAUUGUGGGGCUUGUCUGGCUUAUCUUCACAUGGGACUGGAGUUCAAAGGCAUGGUAACUGAAAGGUAAUGGGGGACAUUCAUUAAACUGUGAGGCAGAACUGCCUACCUAAAUGACAAAGAAUCCAUAAGGAUGAAGAUCGAAAAGCAGUUGUGAUCAAGGCUAAUUUUAAAUUCAUUGGUUCAAUUGUGCUCCUGUGUGAAUACUUGUGCCUAUACAGAGAAUUGUUGAAACAAGCUGCUGAUGAUGGUGAAAAUGUAUGUAAACAAAGCAAAGAGGACAAUUCUCAGCUUGGUUUUGAGCAACACAGACAACAAACUUACACAUAGGAAGUAUUAAGCAACAGUAACUAAUAAGAUGGGCUUGCUUUUAAAGUCAGGAGGACUGUUGGCUCAUCACUGCUUGAGUAUAACCAGUUAACAUUAAUAGGAGCAAUGCACAUGUUAAACAAGAAAAGUAGGCUUGUUAUCUCAGAAGUGUAAUGAGAAAAAAUAGCAGGAAGCAUGAGUUGGGAUUUCCAGAAAAAACAGGAGGUCAGAAAUUCCUGAAUUUAGAUGGCUGGCUCAUUCACUGAUUCACUGUGCUCUUCCUAAAGCAAAUUACGUGACUCACCUGACUCAUUUUCUUCAUCUGUAAAUUGUACGGUGUAUGCCAGUUGCACACACUUAAUAUUGGUAGAGAAUUCUUGUUUAUCAAGUUAAUUGGGAUUACUAAUAAAAGAAGAAGGAUAUAAAGGACAAAGCAGACCACAUUAACGCUAAUUUGAUGUGAGAUUAGAGAGUUGCCUAUGCCUAGAAAUAGCUGCAUCAACCCAGAUAUGUAUUGUAGAUAGUCUAAAAUAGGGCAUGAAAUGGCAUGCCUUAGAUCUGAAAUAGGAUUAAAACAGACUGUGGCAAUAUUUCUAUGAUAAUAUUUCUUCCAGUGUUGAAGUACCUACAUUUUCAGAAUGAGUCAUUCUAUCUUCUCCCAUUACUUCCAGCAGGUUUCCAAACACCCCUUCAGUUAAUCUUUCUCCAGUUUCUUGGGUUCUUGUCUUAAAUUUCUUCAUUAGCCCCCUUUUUUGUGGUUUCCAGCUCUUUACCCAGCUUGCCCUUCUCAUCUCAACCUCCCUCAUCUCCUUGUUCCAAUCUAUUGCCUUUUUUUUUUUCUCUGUUUAAGUUGGAUGAUUUCUUCCUUCAUGCUGAUUAAAGGUCGGCAAGGGAAGAGAGGAUCACUGAACAAUUAGUGACUGCUCUGUUUCCUCAUCAAACACACACAAGCAAUUAUAGAGAAAGUUCUUCAGCAGUGAUGCAGCAGUGGUUUGGACUCAUGCCUACUAUUUCUCUCUGAAUGGCAGCUAUGCAGUCUGGUCAUGUAUGUGAGAGAUUUAUCUGCUAAGUGAGAGUGGAAUAUUUUGAGAUUUAAGUAUUAAACUCACACAUGUCUCUAUCCAACAUGCGCUAAAUACUGUUUUACAAAGUCUCAUAAUUUGGACAAAUUUGAGAAGAUUUUCCCAGGGAUUGCAAAAGCACAUCUUUAAUAUUAAGGCCUCUUUCUAUGAAACCUCAGCUUCCUACUUGAAGGUAAGGAUUGCCAACCAAUGAGAUGAGAAUCCAUUAGAAAUUAGAUGCGGAGCUUACCCUGUUUCCUUUUCUCUUGUCUUGGACUGCACAAACAAUAGUCACAAUGAAAACAACAAGGGACAAACUGUAAACUCAAGCUUAAUGUAAGAGGAAGAUAUUGAUGAAUUUUCUCUUGAAGAAUAAAGCCUCU